CUUGACCUUGAAGGAAGCAGAAUUUUCUUUUUGAGUUGAGUGACUGUAGCCCCCAAAGUUCCUAGGACAGUUUUGUGCAAGAAGUCAUGAGGGCCUGGACAAAACCUCACAGCCUCUGGCUGGAAUUCUGCAUUUAGGGACGGAGGCCUGAUUCUCCCACUGGGAAGAAAGGUGCUGAAGCUCUACCCUAGCCACGUUGGGAAGGCAGCGUCUGCCCUCCUUAACAAGACGUUUCCUACUAACUGCAACAUGCAGGGCUUCUCUCCUUGGCGCUGUUUCCCAUCCACCAGCUCAAGAUCAUUCCAGUGUAUCUGAUGAGAUCUCAGACUUUCAGAAAAGCGAUUCUUGGAAUGCCAUCUGGCUAACCAUUAGAUAUGUCCAGACGGACACUUUGCGGAUUGUCUUCAGGAAGGAAGAAAAAUAGAAGGGAGUCUCAGAACUAUUUAUACAAUUAUCCUGCAGGCUUUGGCCUGGAAAACAAGAAACUAGGGUGUGUUCUUUCACCUGCAGCAACAUCGAAGUCACUACAAAUGGCCAUAGGACAGUUAUAC
rnacentral:lncRNA from 1 species